UACGAAGGGUGCAAACGUUGCUCGGAAUUAUUGGGCGUAAAGCGCACGUAGGCGGCUUUUCAAGUCCCAUGUGAAAGCCCACGGCUUAACCGUGGAAGUGCAUGGGAAACUGGAGAGCUUGAGUACUUAAGAGGAUCGCGGAAUUCCCGGUGUAGAGGUGAAAUUCGUAGAUAUCGGGAGGAACACCAGUGGCGAAGGCGGCCCCCUGGGCCGCGCCUGACGCUGAGACGCGAAGGCUAGGGGAGCGAACGGGAUUGAGAA
rnacentral:rRNA from 1 species